GACGAACGCUGGCGGCAGGCCUAACACAUGCAAGUCGAGCGGACCUUUCGGGGUCAGCGGCGGACGGGCGAGUAACGCGUGGGAAUAUGCCCUUCUCUACGGAAUAGUCCUGGGAAACUGGGGGUAAUACCGUAUACGCCCUUUGGGGGAAAGAUUUAUCGGGGAAGGAUUAGCCCGCGUUGGAUUAGGUAGUUGGUGGGGUAAUGGCCUACCAAGCCGACGAUCCAUAGCUGGUUUGAGAGGAUGAUCAGCCACACUGGGACUGAGACACGGCCCAGACUCCUACGGGAGGCAGCAGUGGGGAAUCUUAGACAAUGGGGGCAACCCUGAUCUAGCCAUGCCGCGUGAGUGAUGAAGGCCUUAGGGUUGUAAAGCUCUUUCAGCUGGGAAGAUAAUGACGGUACCAGCAGAAGAAGCCCCGGCUAACUCCGUG
rnacentral:rRNA from 1 species